AGGCAUACAAGGGGAACCUGCUGCUGAAACCCAUCGUGGAAGUUGCAGGCCAGGAUAUCAGCCACUGGUUUGAUCCAAAGACCAGAGACGUGAGUUAUACUGGAAUCUGGGAUUGUGGGUAGAGGCAAUGGAGAGCGGGGAUGGGAAGGAAAGGCGGAGGCUAGCCAGAGCCUAAUGACUGCUCUGACCCCAAACCCUCCUUUAAAGAUCCGCAAGCACAUAGAUCCGCUGACCGGCUGCCUGAGGUACUGCACCCCGCGGGGCCGCUUUGUGCACGUUCCGCCUCAGCUGCCCUGUUCGGACUGGGCCAACGAUUUUGGGAAGCCCUGGUGGCAGGGGUCGUAUUAUGAGGUGGGGCGGCUGUCUGCCAAGACCCGGAGCAUCCGCAUCAUUAACACGCUCACGUCGCAGGAGCACACACUGGAGGUGGGGGUUCUGGAGUCCAUAUGGGAAAUCCUACACCGCUAUCUCCCCUAUAACACACAUGCUGCCAGCUACACGUGGAAAUAUGAAGGGAAGAACCUGAACAUGGAUUUUACCCUGGAAGAGAAUGGGAUCCGGGAUGAGGAGGAAGAAUUUGACUAUCUCA
rnacentral:sRNA from 1 species